UUGGCUGAUCCCUUUCGCUGUAUGGCGUGCUCGUUUGGGUUGGGCGUCGGCUAAGAGUGCUCAGAGCGUAGAUUAACUCCAGUCUCCUAUCAGGUGUGUAUUUCUCACUACUCUAGUUGUAGGAUGGCUACUUCGGGCUGUGAUGGGCCGAAAGAGGCCAUGUGGGCCCAAUGGGCCUACGAGCCCAAUUGGAUAAGUUGUUUGAUUGUGUAGUAAAUAUUGGACUAGGCUAGGUGAAUCUCAUAUUUGUGGCUAAAUUUGGGCUAAAAGGGCCACAAGAGCGUGUGGGCACAUUUGGGCUGAGAAUGGGCUUUAGGGCUAUUCGUAUUGUUAUCCCUAUUUAGAAUACUUUAGUUUACCAAUUACAGAAAUGCCCUCGACUUGUAAAAUUACCAAAGUACCCUCGAUUUAUAGAAUCACUGUUUUACCCUUGAUUUACAGAAUUACUGUUUUACCCUCAAUUUACAAAAUUACCGUUUUACCCUCGAUUGUGAAAUUACUAAAAUACCCCUAUAGGGUAGAAUUACCAAAAUACCCCUAGUUUGUAAAAUUACCAAAAUACCACUGGUUUGUGAAAUUAUCGAAAUACCCUCAAUUUGUAAAAUUACCAAAAUACCCCUAAUUUACAAAAUUAUAGAAAUACCCUUGACUUUCUAAAAAUUAUAGAAAUACCAUUGGUUUACAAAAUUAUUGAAAUACCCUUGGUUUGUAGAUUUACCAAAACACCCUUGUAGGAUGAAAUGACUAAAAUACCCCUAAUAGGUAAAAAGACCGUAAAGCCCCUGUAGGGUAAAGUGACCGUAAUACCCCUGUAUGGUAAAAUGAUGAAUAUGCCCUUAUGUUCCGUAUGACUGAUGUGCUUAGGAUUUACAUAUAUUAAUAUUGGAUUAGUUAAGUUUGAGUGAUAGGUGGUGGUUAUCGUAGGUGAUUGAUUUUGGAAACGUUUCAACUUCAACCCAUAACAGGUGUGUAAUAACCCUCGCAGUAGCUUAGAUUAAUAUUCACCGAAAAGCCGAAAUGCUAAAAUUUCGGCAUUUCGAAAACUUGUGAUUUUGCCUUUGCUUAAAGAUACGAUAGAUACAAUAUGAUCGGUGUUUGGAUCGAUGGAGCAGGUAAGAGCGCAAUUUUGUGCACGAUGGUAAGUUGGGCCUCAAUGGGCUAGAAUCGGGCCCAAUGGGCUUUCGGGCCCAUUUGCGUAAAACUGAUAGAAAAUGGAAUCUGGAAAAGUUGCAUGUUAACACGGUUAGUACUAUUGUAAAAUUUGGGUUAAGCAGGCUUAGUGGGCUAAAUCACCAUUCGUAAGGCCCAUUAGGGGUUUUGGGCCCAAAAGCCCGAAUUUUAUAAGUGGGUUAAAGAUCAUUGUUUAAACACUCAGAAAUAUUGACAAUUGUAAUGAACAUGGAAAACCCUGAUUUUUGGUAAAAUUACGAAAAUACCCUUAUAAUAUGAAAAAUGACUGUUUUGCCCUUGUGGGCAAGUGACUGACUUGGACUGUGUGGUUGACGGAUUUGAUUGUGAAUAUAUGUUGGUGAUAUAAAUGACUUGACUGUGAUUGUUUGAUUCAAAUAUGGGCAUGACAUUCUGCAUACAUGACAUAUUGCAUGGGAUAUGGGUUAUAUUGAUGGAGGAAGUGCUAAAAGGGCUCUGCCCUAGUUUAUCGAAAAGGGCUUUGCCCCAGUUUAUCAGAAAGGGCUUUGCCCCAGUUAUUAAAAGAGGCUAGGCCUCCAGUUAUAUGAUAAAGUAGCUAUGCUGCCAGUGGAGAGUUUGGUUGGGUGGGUUGAGUUAUUCCUCACAUGGAGAACUUGGUUGGUACGGGUGGAGAGUAGCGGAUGGUGGGUUGAGUAGUCUCCCCAAAUGGGCUUGCAUACAUUCAUUGACAUUACAUGUGAUAUUGAAAUGGGCUUGCAUACAUUCAUUGACAUUACAUGUGAUAUUGAAAUGGGCUUGCAUACUUCCAUUGACAUUACAUGUGAUAUUGAAAUGGGCCUAAGGGCCAUACCGUUUACAGUAAAGGCUUUGACCCAGUGAUAUGAUUUAUGAAAAGGCUUCGGCCUAGUGAUAUGAUUUAUGAAAAGGCUUCGACCCAGUGAUAUGAUUUAUGGAAAGGCUUCGGCCCAGUAUAUGUCAAGACUAAAUAGGGCUUUGGCCCAGAUUGUACUAAUACCGUGUUAUUUACUGUUUGUUUGUUAUUGGGGUUACACACUGAGUUUUCGUAAACUCACCCUGUUUCUAACUAUGCAGGUAAUCCCUAAGCUUAGAUGGUUUGGAGCUGCGAGAGACUCGGAGAUGGCCACACUACUGUUUUUGUUUCUUUUAAUUGCAAUAAGUAACCGGUUUAUUUUUUUAUAAGUUUUAUCUUAAUUAAUAUUAUUAUUUGGUUUUGGGAUGUAAUAAGGCCAUUUUAAUUAUUUUUCUGGGAUUAUUUUAUCUUAUACCCUAUAUUUUUCUAAUAACAAUAUGAGUUAGAUCUAGGGAGCGUUUCCAAAAUGAUAAUUGUUUUCAAAAUAACGCAACGAUACAAUUAAUUGGUUUAUCAAAAAUAUCUACUUAAAUAAAUUCCAAUAGGUUUUUCUCAAAACCUAACCUAGCACCAAAGUGUGGCAAUGGUUGUGGGCAUGUCUAGGAUUGGAUCCAAUCAAGAGCUUGGUACUUAAGCAGCCUUCUAGGCUCACCUUCUCUGCUUCAGAUACCUACCUGGUGCACAGCUUCCAUUCACUUUAUUAACUUAGCAAAGACUAUCUUUUAAAACACUAAGAAGGACGUUGAAAGAGGCAUGGGUUUUCUUAAAAACUUCAAUGUGACACGUCGGAUUCGGCCACAACGUCUGGGCUGGGUUUGGGGUGUUACACUGGCUCGUCCCGGAGCACCACCGCCUUCGGCUACACGCACUUCACGCUCCACCGUCUGAGCCACCGUGCCCGGCAUUAGGGCUUUCAAAGCCCCAUUUUUUUACAGCGAAUAAAAAAGGUAACCCUUUAUUACUAUUUUUAUGAUGUAUUUUACUAUAUGCUGUAUCAGAAAGAAAAUAAAUAAUAAAAAGAAAAUUGAAAGUAUCACCUCUGUUCUUCAGUAAACUUUUAAUCUCAUUUUUAUAUAUUUUGUGUAAAAAAAAACCCGUCCCCUCUUACAGGUUACAAAGGAGGCUUUUAUAGCCACUGUUUCUAUUACAUUUUGGGAAGAAAUCCUUUUAUUUCUUUCCAUAUUUGUUUUGGUUGUUUGUUGCUAUUUCUUUCCUUCUUUUACAGGUAACGCCGAAAAAUUCAGCGGUGAUGGAGGCUUGACGAUGGUGACGACGGACCAGGCACUGACUGCGCACUGGCUUGCGGAGCUGAUGGAGGGUAGCUGGAUCGACGCGAGAUGAAACGACGUGACUCGGGGCCAGAGUUACGGGGAAAGUGGAGAGGCGUGUCUGCUUGCGGCGCCUAGGGUUUCUAAAACCCUAGGCCUUCCUGCUUUCCAUUAACAAUUUGGGCCUCUUGGGCUUUGUAUGCUUUGGGUCUGGGUGUAAUGGGUCUGUUGGGUAGUUUUAGGUAUCUGAAUUUGGGCCUACGGGUUAGUGGGUCGUGUAUUGUAAAUGGACUAUAAUAAACAUUCCUUUGUUUAUUUUUUUUGUUUCUGGUUCUAUUUAAUUAUGGGCCCGAGCAGAAACGGG
rnacentral:lncRNA from 1 species